UUAUUGGAGAGUUUGAUCCUGGCUCAGGACGAACGCUGGCGGCGUGCCUAAUACAUGCAAGUCGAGCGGAUUGAU
rnacentral:rRNA from 1 species